rnacentral:rRNA from 1 species
UACGGAGGGUGCAAGCGUUAUCCGGAUUUACUGGGUUUAAAGGGUGCGUAGGUGGGUCUGUAAGUCAGUGGUGAAAUCUCCGGGCUUAACCCGGAAACUGCCAUUGAUACUAUGGGUCUUGAAUAUCCUGGAGGUGAGCGGAAUAUGUCAUGUAGCGGUGAAAUGCUUAGAUAUGACAUAGAACACCAAUUGCGAAGGCAGCUCACUACGGGAUUAUUGACACUGAGGCACGAAAGCGUGGGGAUCAAACAGG